rnacentral:misc_RNA from 1 species
GGAAGUAAAAGUCGUAACAAGAUUUCCGUAGGUGAACCUGCGGAAGGAUCAUUAUUGUAUAACCGAGGUGCGAGGGCUGUCGCUGACCCGAAAGGUCGUGCACGCCCGAGUGCCCUCACACACAUCCAUCUCACCCCUAUGUGCACCACCGCGUGGGUCCCCCUUUGGCUUGUUCGGAGGGGGGCUUACGUUUUCACACAAACUUUGUAUGCAGUGUAGAAUGUAUUUUUUGUUUUUGCGAUCACGCAUCAAUACAACUUUCAACAACGGAUCUCUUGGCUCUC